GGUUUGUUAAGUCAGAUGUGAAAGCCCAGGGCUCAACCUUGGAACUGCAUUUGAUACUGGCAAACUAGAGUACGGUAGAGGAAUGGGGAAUUUCUGGUGUAGCGGUGAAAUGCGUAGAGAUCAGAAGGAACACCAAUGGCGAAGGCAACAUUCUGGACCGAUACUGACACUGAGGGACGAAAGCGUGGGGAUCAAACAGGAUUAGAUACCCUGGUAGUCCACGCUGUAAACGAUGAGUACUAGCUGUUGGAGUCGGUGUAAAGGCUCUAGUGGCGCAGCUAACGCGAUAAGUACUCCGCCUGGGGACUACGGCCGCAAGGCUAAAACUCAAAGGAAUUGACGGGGACCCGCACAAGCGGUGGAGCAUGUGGUUUAAUUCGAUGCAACGCGAAGAACCUUACCUGGUCUUGACAUCCUGCGAACUUUCUAGAGAUAGAUUGGUGCCUUCGGGAACGCAGUGACAGGUGCUGCACGGCUGUCGUCAGCUCGUGUUGUGAAAUGUUGGGUUAAGUCCCGCAACGAGCGCAACCCCUAUUGAUAGUUACCAUCAUUAAGUUGGGUACUCUAUUAAGACUGCCGCUGACAAGGCGGAGGAAGGUGGGGACGACGUCAAGUCAUCAUGGCCCUUACGACCAGGGCUACACACGUGCUACAAUGGGUAUUACAGAGGGCUGCGAAGGUGCGAGCUGGAGCGAAACUCAAAAAGGUACUCUUAGUCCGGAUUGCAGUCUGCAACUCGACUGCAUGAAGUCGGAAUCGCUAGUAAUCGCAGGUCAGAAUACUGCGGUGAAUACGUUCCCGGGUCUUGUACACACCGCCCGUCACACCAUGGGAGUGGGUUGCUCCAGAAGUAGAUAGCUUAACGAAUGGGCGUUUACCACGGAGUGAUUCAUGACUGGGGUGAAGUCGUAACAAGGUAGCCGUAGGGGAACCUGCGGCUGGAUCACCUCCUUAA
rnacentral:rRNA from 1 species